CAAGGUUUCCUGUCCAACGUUAAUCGGGACAGGGUGAGUCGGCCCCUAAGGCGAGGGAGAAAUCCGUAGUCGAUGGAAAACAGGUUAAAAUUCCUGUACCGAUAAUUACUGCGAUGGAGUGACGGAGAAGGCUAGGCUAUCAGGGCGAUGGUUGUCCCUGUUUAAGCAAGUAGGCGGAGAACUUAGGUAAAUCCGGGUUCUCAUUACGCUGAGAUGUGAUGACGAUCUGAACCUUCGGGUGACGAGAAGUAGUUGAUGCCAUGCUUCCAGGAAAAACUUCUAAGCUUCAGGUAAUUAUUGACCGUACUGUAAACCGACACAGGUG
rnacentral:rRNA from 1 species